rnacentral:rRNA from 1 species
GUGUUAAGUGGAAAAGGAUGUGGGAUUUCAUAGACAACUAGGAUGUUGGCUUAGAAGCAGCCAUACAUUUAAAGAGUGCGUAAUAGCUCACUAGUCGAGAAAACCUGCGCCGAAAAUGUAACGGGGCUAAAACACGACACCGAAGCUACGGAUUCCUUACAAAGUAAGGAGUGGUAGAGGAGCAUCCUGCAAGGACGAAGCCAAAGUGAGAGCGAUGGUGGACGAAACAGGAGAGAGAAUGCCGGAAUGAGUAGCGAGAUACAUGUGAGAAACAUGUAGGCCGAAUAUCUAAGGAUUCCUGGGUAAAGCUAAUCUUCCCAGGGUUAGUCGGGGCCUAAGGCGAGGACGAAAGUCGUAGUCGAUGGAUAACAGGUUGAUAUUCCUGUACUACACAUAAUCAGAACUGUGGGGACGCAGAAGGAUAGGGAAACCGGGGAAUGGAAAGACCCGGUCAAGCGUAAAGCUGUGGGAGAUAGGCAAAUCCGUCUUCUGUAAGUGAAACGUGAUGAGGACUGAAAAAAAGUAAGGAAGUUUCCGAAUCCACACUGCCGAGAAAAGCCGCUAUUGCGUUAUGUGUACCCGUACCGUAAACCGACACAGGUAGAUGAGGAGAAAAUCCACAGGCCGACGGGAGAAGUGUUGUUAAGGAACUCGGCAAAAUGACCCCGUAACUUCGGGAUAAGGGGAGCCUCGCAAGAGGCCGCAGAAAAGAGGCACAAGCAACUGUUUAGCAAAAACAUAGGUCUAUGCGAAACCGUAAGGUGAAGUAUAUGGGCUGACACCUGCCCGGUGCUGGAAGGUUAAAAGGAGAGGUCAGCGCAAGCGAAGCUUUGAAUUCAAGCCCCAGUAAACGGCGGCCGUAACUAUAACGGUCCUAAGGUAGCGAAAUUCCUUGUCAGGUAAGUUCUGACCCGCACGAAAGGCGUAAUGAUUUGUGCACUGUCUCGACAACACGCCCGGUGAAAUUGAAGAACCAGUGAAGAUACUGGUUACCCGCAACAGGACGGAAAGACCCCAUGGAGCUUUACUGCAGCCUGAUACUGGGAUUCGAUGAUAUAUGUACAGGAUAGGUGGGAGGCUAAGAAGCGAGAACGCUAGUUUUCGUGGAGCCGCCGGUGGGAUACCACUCUUAUGUCAUUGAAUUUCUAACCUGCAUCCGUAAUCCGGGUGAGGGACAAUGUCAGGCGGGCAGUUUGACUGGGGCGGUCGCCUCCUAAAAGGUAACGGAGGCGCUCGAAGGUCACCUCAGAAUGAUUGGAAACCAUUCAAAGAGUGUAAAGGCAAAAGGUGGCUUGACUGCGAGAGCGACGGCUCGAGCAGGUACGAAAGUAGGACUUAGUGAUCCGGUGGUAAUAAGUGGGAAUGCCAUCGCUCAACGGAUAAAAGCUACCCUGGGGAUAACAGGCUUAUCUCCCCCAAGAGUUCACAUCGACGGGGAGGUUUGGCACCUCGAUGUCGGCUCAUCGCAUCCUGGGGC